CAAUAGCCCCGAUCUAAGAGAAAAUCCCGCAUUGAGGCGGCGGCGCGAAGCAGAGCCGCCGAGCGAGGAAUUGGAACGGAGAGCGGGUUCCCGG
rnacentral:sRNA from 1 species